AUAAGCGUGAGGGUGCGUAUGAUAAAAAAAGUAUCAAACAAAUAAAUAAUUUUGAAGAUAAUAGCUUUAAAAAAAACAUAAAUGAUAACACCCGUCAUAUGAAGUGUCAUAACUUACUACGGGUAAGUAGUCAAACUAAGGAUAACAAAUUAAAACGGGAAGACAAUCAAUCGAAAAUGGAAAAUUUGGAAUCUACUUACCGUUUCAAUAUGUUACAUAAAAAUAAAUAUAACAAUAUAAAAUUUAAUAACAAGGGGAAAAAAAAUAAAUUAAUAAGAUCGACAGAAUAUGUACUAAAUUAUUCUGAAAAUGAAUAUAGCAGUAGUAGUAGUAGUAGUAGUAAUGGUGGUAGUAGUAGUGGUAGUAGUAGUGGUAAAGGUAGUGGUCAUGGUAGUAGUAGUAGUGGUAGUAAUAGUAGUAAUAGUAGUAGUAGUAGUAGCACUUGUUACUCUUCCGAUGAAUCUAGCAUAUUUUUGUACAUAAAAAAAAAGAAGACAAAAAAAAAAGUAUGCGACUAUAGCGAUUAUAGCGGUUAUAGCAAUUAUAAGAAAAACAAAAGAAAAACGACGCGAGACAUGAGUCCGUUGACUACUCUGCAAAAAAAUGAAUAUAGGAUGGAAAUCCCAAGCAGGUAUAUUACUCCUAAUAAAUAUGAGUUGGUAAAACAAAAUAAAUCACCACGUAAUUUCAGAUGCUUAUUUGAAAAUAAUUAUAUUAAUAUUCAAUGUAACAGUGUAUAUGUAAAAACGUUAUAUUGCUGUUUUUUACUUCGAUUUUUAAAUUUUUGGCUAAAAAGUUACAAAAACAAAUACAAUAAUGUUUUAUUAUCAAAUUUUCGCAAGUAUAUAAUUUCUAAUUUGCCAGGUUGUAAUGAUUUGAAUUUAUUUUUGUUAAGUUAUAUAUCUAUGUACCCAUAUGAUAAAAUUGUAAGAAUAGAGUUACAGAAUUUUAUGUAUAAUAUUAUUGAUAAUAUCAAUGAAAAGAAUUUAUAUAAAUACACUAAAAGUGCUAGUGAAAUAUUAAGAAUAAAUAAUAAAAAAAAAAGAAUAAUAGAAAAAGGAAUUGAUGAAAUAUUAUUGUAUGACACUAGUGGAACUUAUGUUGUUUCUAUUAUGAUACCAAAAGUAGGUAGUUUAUUUAUUUAUCCAUUUAUUUAUGCCGAUGAAAUUUGUUUAACUUUAUUUUUAAUAUUACUACUAAUAAAAUCUGACUAUUUAAAAUGUUAUAAAACAAUGUAUACAAAUGCAAAUAUGAUAACAUUAAUAGUACAUCAUAUAUGUUAUUAUAUAUUUUUUGACACUCAAUAUAUUUUUGAAAAAAGUAGUCACAAUAGUAGUAAUAAUAGUGGUAAUACUACUACUGGUCAUGAAAAUAAGCAUGGUCAUUACAUUGGAUUCGGUUUCCAUAAUAAUAGUAGUAAUGUUAGUAGUAGUAGUAAUAAUAGUAAUAAAAUUUCUAUUUAUAAUAGUGCUAAGUUUAACAAAUUUAAGCUAUUUCAUUUUAUACAUUUAUUAUCAACGAGUUUUUCCGUUACUUGGGACUUCCAAACUUUAAUACAAAAAGGUAUUUUUACUAAUAAUAUGAAAAAUAUUUUAUAUAGCUCUGUUAACUUGAAUUUAAAAACAGAAGAUUUAAUUUUGAAUAGAAAAUUAUUAUACGAUUGUUACUAUAAAAAUUUAAAAAAUUAUUAUAUAAUAACAAAACCUGUAAUGAAUGACAAAUUAAAUAGUACUACUUUCUGUGAAAUUAAUAUAAAACAAUAUAUGGAUAAUUAUAUAGAAAUGAUAGAAAAUAAAAAUAAUGAAAACAAUAUAAAUAAAAACCAUCAACCAAUAAAUAACAAUCAAGAACAAUGUAGCUAUUCAGAAAUGUAUAUUGAAAAUGGGGUUUGCAUUAUUAAAUCAAAUGAUCAUAAUGAAUAUAGUAGUUCUAGUUGGAAAUUUUUAGAUAGUUUUAAUAAAACUAGUUCCGAAAAAAAACAAAAAAAAAAUAUGUUUUCCGUUUAUAGUCGUAGUGCUAGUGUAGCUGGUACCACUACGAGUGACACAACUACAAUUGGCGACAUUACAAGCGACAUAAAUACAACUGCUACCAUUAAUACCGACACAACAAAAAAUGGUAUUAUUCCGAUAGAUACGACUACAUCUAAUGCUAUUACAAUUAACACAACUACAGAUGGUGCUACCAUUACAACUAUUCCAUCAAAAAAUUACUAUAAUGAUUUAUAUUUUGCUUAUAUGGAUGAAAAAAAAUUAAUUCAUCCGAAGGUAACAACUAUUAACGAACAUAAUUAUAUAAACAUUUGUCAUUUUAUAUUAAACAUAUUCGAGUUUUACACCUUAUCAUUGAAUAAUAACAAUUUUUUAAAAAUGUUAAUAAACAUAGGUCGAAUUGAACCUUUCUUAUUUUUAAAAACAUUACAGUAUAUUACUACGAACAUGCAAAAAC
ensembl:lncRNA